GUUUACAGCCAUACCACUCUGAGCACGGCUGAUCUCAUACGAUCUCGGAAGCUAAGCAGUGCUGGGCCUGGUUUGUCCUUGGAUGGGAGACCAACCGGGAAUACCAUGUGCUGUAAACU
ensembl:rRNA 5S_rRNA 5S ribosomal RNA